GGUGGCUCAGUGGUAGAGUGCUUGUCUUGCAUGCAUGAGGCCCGGGGUUCAAUUCCCCAGCACCA
rnacentral:tRNA from 1 species